GUCCGAUCCACCCUGAGCCACCCGCACCGUGCAAUCUAAUUAGAGGACAUGAGUCUCUGAGGUUCCCACGUGGUCCCUCUAUGUCAGCCAAAGCAGGACCGUGCCAUUUUAUCCAUUCCUCUUUCCCCAUCCCCAUUUACUUCUCGCGAACUCUGAUCUCGUCGUGUUUUUCUCUCGGCCGAUUUCGCAGCAGCGAUUCCGGGCCGCCGGGUGUCAGAGAGGAGCAGCAGAUUGGCGGCGUGGUCAUACGCAGCCCCGGGAGGGGCGGCGUCGGCGUCGAUGUGCAGUUUUGCCCGAGGUUUUGCUGGUUGAUUUCGUCGCGGUGCGGUUUUACCGACGAGGCCACAGGGCACGGGACCUCCUGCAUGUCGCGGGGGGAGGUCACGAGGGCUACGCGAAGGCGAUUGCAUAAUUGAAUCCAGCUCUGCUGGACGCAGGCGGGGCACAUCGACCUCGGUUAGAUCUCCUUUGUCCUUCAUAUAUAUUUCCCCUAUUUAUUCGCCCCUGAUUUCCUCUGCCCGGUGGCGAUUUUCCGGCGAUUUCCAUGGCAUGAGGCGUCUCGGCGGUGCGGGUCAACGGAAAAGAGAGAGGCGCUGCGCGUGGGGUAGGGGGAGCAUGAUUGAAGUAGGUGGGACAUCGAGGAGCUCACUGUCGAUUUUCUCGCCGUGGCUUCGUGUCAUGUCGUGGUCAGUACGCAGGGCCUCGGCGUCUGCAUGUCACACGGCACGGUGGUGGCGGCUGCGCGAACCUUCUACGGUUGCUAAUUCGAGCGCAGCGGGCGGAAUCGAUUUCAUGAUUUCACUCCUCACGGUAUCCCAGAAGGUGCUUGUUGGGUUGUAUGGAUCAAGACUGGGAUUUGUCACUCCUUGUGACGGAGAGAUAUCUCUGGGCCCUCUCGCGUUUGGCUGCCACAUCAAGCUCGAUGGGAGGAUCAAGCACCGUGGCCGCAUAAUCUUGGUGCCCGCGGGAGUUGAGAAUAUGAGGAGACGGUGGGGGCAAUGUACGCCUGAGAAUUGGGGAUAGGGAACAACAACCAUAUGACAAGGUUGCGGCUUUCUGAAGAAUGGAUUUGUACAUAUGGGACAAGAAACCUAAUGAAGGCGUAACAAGGGAUGCACAUUUUGUACAGCUAGCUUUGUGAUUUUGAACCUAAGACAAGACUAAUGCUGGCGGAACAUAUGCUGGGCCUAACUACUACAUAUGGAAAUCUUCUACUUGUGUGAAUCAAAUGUUCGGGCACUUUUUGUGGGGAUUCAGCUUGAGUGCUCUUGGAAAUACUGCUUUGUAUGCAUAUAUGUACUAUCUAGUCGUCUAUACUAUUGCUAUUCCUACUACUAGUGGUUUUUGCUUUUGGAAUUUGUUCUGAAUGAUGAUUCAUGGAUUUGUUUUACAUUAGCUGUAUAGCUCCUGACUAUGUUCAGUUUUUAACCUGUAUGUGGGUUUAGAUUUGCUUUUUGUAGGGUGCGACUUUGUUUGAAACUAAACUGAUUUCUCA